UACGUAGGGUGCGAGCGUUAAUUGGAAUUACUGGGCGUAAAGCGUGCGCAGGCGGCUUUGCAAGACAGAUGUGAAAUCCCCGGGCUCAACCUGGGAACUGCAUUUGUGACUGCAAGGCUAGAGUACGGCAGAGGGGGAUGGAAUUCCGCGUGUAGCAGUGAAAUGCGUAGAUAUGCGGAGGAACACCAAUGGCGAAGGCAAUCCCCUGGGCCUGUACUGACGCUCAUGCACGAAAGCGUGGGGAGCAAACAGG
rnacentral:rRNA from 1 species